CUCAUUACAUGUUCUUAUCUCACGUUCUGGUAGCUGUACUUUCUCUCGGUGCAAUCUAAUAUGAAAUGCGUGAUGAAUCGAAAUAAGGCUGAGUGAUUUACCGGUAUACAUUUGGGAGAUGCGAUCAUGCAGAAGAAAGUCAGAAGUAGGUUGCAGGCAUUUUCUGAGGGAAACUGUUCAAAAGAUCGUAGAGUUGAGUAGCCGAAAGGGGAGGACCAGCAGGUGCCGGAUGACCAACAUGUAGAUCAGAUUAGGUUGUCCAAGUUGGAUGUUGGUGCCGAUAAGUCCGAUGUUCGAAGCUGGAUGAUUAUUCAAGAAGACGUCAUUCGAUUGCAGA